rnacentral:rRNA from 1 species
CCUACGGGACGCAGCAGUGAGGAAUAUUGGUCAAUGGGCGCGAGUCUGAACCAGCCAAGUCGCGUGAAGGAUGACUGUCCUAUGGGUUGUAAACUUCUUUUAUCUGGGAGUAAAGUUUUCCACGUGUGGCAUUUUGUAUGUACCAUAUGAAUAAGGAUCGGCUAACUCCGUGCCAGCAGCCGCGGUAAUACGGAGGAUCCGAGCGUUAUCCGGAUUUAUUGAGUUUAAAGGGAGCGUAGGUGGUUUGUUAAGUCA